AUUGAACGCUGGCGGCAGGCUUAACACAUGCAAGUCGAACGAGUGGCGGACGGGUGAGUAAUGCUUGGGAAUCUGGCUUAUGGAGGGGGAUAACUACGGGAAACUGUAGCUAAUACCGCGUACCAUAGGAUGAGCACAAGUGGGAUUAGGUAGUUGGUGAGGUAAAGGCUCACCAAGCCGACGAUCUCUAGCUGGUCUGAGAGGAUGACGAGCCACACUGGGACUGAGACACGGCCCAGACUCCUACGGGAGGCAGCAGUGGGGAAUUUUGGGCAAUGGGGGAAACCUGACCCAGCCAUCCCGCGUGAAUGAAGAAGGCCUUCGGGGUGUAAAGUUCUUUCGGUAGCGAAGCGUUAUCUACAGAAGAAGCACCGGCUAACUCCGUGCCAGCAGCCGCGGUAAUAC
rnacentral:rRNA from 1 species